GGUUUCCUGGGGUGUUUGCCAGCAGGCUUAUGUCCCUGAGCCGAUGCUUGUAUUAAAAGGGGAUCACUGGCCUGCCAUGAGCAAGCCCGGCUUGAACCGGGAAGCCUACGGCAGAUACCAUUUGCUCCCCGCCUUGAACCAAUGGGUUCAAGGGCUACAGCCAGCAGCGGCACCUUGGGAAGCCA
rnacentral:other from 17 species